rnacentral:rRNA from 1 species
CGGCGUGAGUCCGUGCCAGAGGGAGGGGUAAGACGGGGGGGGCAAACGUGGGUCGGAAUCGUGGUGGGUAAAGCGCACGUAGGUGGGCCGGAAAGUCGGGUGUGAAAUGCCGGGGCUGAACGGAGGAAGUGCAAACGAAACUACCGGACUUGAGUACUGAAGAGGGUCGCGGAAUUCCCGGUGUAGAGGUGAAAUUCGUAGAUAUCGGGAGGAACACCAGUGGCGAAGGCGGCGACCUGGGCAGAUACUGACACUGAUGUGCGAAAGCGUGGGGAGCAAACAGGAUUAGAUACCCUUAGUC